GUGUCAAAAAAUGCUGUAUACAUCUAUGUUGAUUAUGACAGAAGACAAACACGGCUACAGUGCAAAGGUAAAUAUAAAUCAAGUUAACAUUAGGAACGCCAUCUAUCUAAUUUGAUAGAGUAUAUACAACACUGCUUGGUGUAGAUAUUCGUUAGUUUUAGUAGUUGGUGUGAAUAUCUUACAGAUUUUCCGAAAGAAGGUGUUCUGGAAUGAAGAAAUCCUUUUCAUGUGUUAGUUCCAAGGAACACUGGUUGUUUUGUGUUCCUGUUGAUAUUCACGUGCUUAGUCUUUUCUCGAAUUGAUAGUUAUGCCUUUACUUUGAGCUGCUUUAUUAAGCUUCAUUGUGUUCUGCAAGUUCUUCCGGUUGCUGCAAAGAAGACAGAUAUAAGUAAAAUUUAUCCCUCAGAGAAGAAUUUAUGGACUACUUGAUGCCUGCGACUCGAUUUCCGAAAGUAGUUUUUACACAUCAAUAUAUUACUGUAACAAUAUUGACUGUUAACCGUUAUGUAAUACCCAGCGUUCAUUUGAAAUUUGUUUCUUUUGUCGAUCUUGAAUAUCUGAGGAAAUUUCAGAAUGUUUUAGUUUGACUGUGUCGAAUAUUACUCUCUUGUUGGUUCUAUUCUUUACUACUUUUCUUAGAUGUAGCCUAAUUUUACCAAUGAUCAAGUGAUGGUCACUACCAUACAGUCUGCUCCUCUCAUAACUAUAUCAUAACACAGUGACUUUUCCCAGCAUCUGUUAAUCACAACCCGUUUGGGAGUUCCAAGUGAGUUUAUGUAUGUUUUUGUGUGGAAAAACUGUACUCCCAUCUUAAGAUAUUCUUUAGGACCAAGAAGUAUGUUUUUCCUGUACUGUUGUUUUAUAAGGCUUGCACUAACAACAUUCUUGAUAAUGCCUUAAUCACUUGCAUCCACUGGUAUGCCAUUGCAAUUGUUUAUGUUUACUGGUCUGGUUUCCGUACUAGAUUUCUGUGAGACGAGAUCGUUAGUCUUCAACUCAAACCUAACCUGGAGGGCCAGUGGAUAUAUAGUUGACAUUCCAUUCCCCUACAUUGAAUGCUAUCCAAAGCUUAUGAGUGAAGAUCUAGCCGGAUAGGGAUCAUAGUUGUUUCUCCUAGAUGUAUGCCUUUCUGGGCAAUCGACCCCCAUAUGACCGACUAUUUACCCGUAGCUUGGACAAGGCUGACGAGUGCUAGGGCAUUUCUACAUGCCAGUUGGUCUACACACUGCAUCUAUGGGGCCCUUUUAGAUCCCAUCAGUUUGGUCUGACAUUAAUUGAGACCAGUUUCCGUGUGUUAGCACGUGGAAAUCCUAAUGGAUACUUGGCAGUAGGCCCGUAGCCAGAAUUUCCAAAGGGAGUAUUUGGACUUGAACACUUAAACUUUAAAAGUCACAAUUAUAACAGAACGUUGACUUUAACAGUAAUCAUUUGAAUUCAAGGGGGUGUGUGGGGUGGUUAGUACGAACCCCCCGAACCCCCUCUGGCUUUGGGUAUGGGUAGGGUAGAAGAUAUGUAAUGAUAGGAGAGACUGACACUCUCAGCUCUCUUUUCAAAUACAAUUUUAGUCAGAGGCAGGCAUGCACUAGACGCAUAACACUACCCUGUGGUUAUCACAACCAACACACUCAUAUGAAAUAGGUUUUCUUUUUAAUUAUAAUGUUAAUGAAAUUAUUGAACUAUUGUGCAGUUGGAGAAGACAUCGGAUGCCAUGGUUAAGGUAAUGACAAAAGACUUCGAAACCAUGAACAGUGGGGGCAAGUAUGGACACAACAUUGUUAAGCUUAAAAAAGCUCUGAAUUGUGAUUGUCAUUGAAUAUCUGAUACAUCAUAGGUUUAUGACACUAAAUUAAUGUAGUCAAAGAACUGAAAAAUAUGAAAUUGAACAUUUACAUAUCAUAGUCCAAUAUCCAUAACAAGAUAAGUUCAACAUACCAACAUAUCAAAGAACCACAGCAUUUCAUAGUUUGACGGACGUUAAAUGUAAGAUCCUUUUGUCGACAUUGCUUCCUCAAAUUAGAUUAAAAAAAUAGUACACACAUAGAUCCAGCAUAUAAAUAAACACCAAUAAUUUAACUUUUAAAGCAAUGAAACAAGUAUAUUUUUUUAGCCUUUGGACCUUAAAAUGGAUCAUUUCAAAAACAGAAAUUAAAAUUAUAAUUACCUAACCAGAUUCAGCAUUUUAAAGACUCAAGAAUUUAUAACUUUUAAAUCAGGAUUCAUACGUUUAACACAUAAGUGCCAUAAAAAGCGUUUUGGUUUGUUGAAAACCCCUUUUUUGGUCCUUAAUUACGUAACAGCUACAACAAAAAGUACCGAAAAUAGACCCUUACCUUCGUAUUCUGGUAUGGAACCUGGUGCUUACAAUAAAAAAAAGAUCUAUACAGACCCUUUUCGGCCGUUAAUUCCAACAGCUACUAUGAUAAUUGUCCAAAUAAAAUACCAACCUUCCCAUUGUUCUGUGAAACCUUGUGCAAAAAUUGAAUAGGGGUUCAUACACUUAUGCUCAAAUUAUUGCCUGCAAAUUAAAUAAAUAGUCUAUUUCUACUACAUUUCGACCCCUAAUUAUAAAACGAUAUGGGCCAUAACCCUUCAAAAUGCCCCUCCAGUUUUUCAUCUGAAGUAUUGAACCUUGUUAAAUUCAUUGAAAUCAAUACUCUUAUACACCAAUCACUUUCCUUUAAUCAUGAACAAUAAUUCUUUUUGAACUGAUUGAUAAACAGGUACGGAAAUACCCCCAACUUUAUAUAUCGAAUACGUGUUACUAGGUAAAUUUUAAAAAUCUGUUUGAUCAUCAUAAAAUUUGUUAGUUUAUUUUUUUGUAGGAUCCGUACUAGAAUGAGCCUGAUGCAGUAUUCUAUCAGAGAAUGAGACUUGAAAAAGAAACCUUUUUUUCACAUAGAAGAAAUUUUGUUUAAUAACAUAUGAUAUAUAUUUGCAGCUUUUUUCCAUUUCGUUUUAGCAUAUUUUGAUAGCUAUUUGUACAUUAAGAUUAACAGAAAAAAAUAGAUUUAUUAUGUUAUUUGAAUUGGACAAGGUGCAAGAUUGAUCAAUUUUGUUUAUAACAAAAACGGGUAUGCGUCUCUUUUAUUCAGUCCAUCUGAUAUACGAGUGCGUGGCUGAUGCAGACGCGAAAUAUAUCUUUCUGUGUUCUACCUGUUUGUGUGCCAAGAUUGGAAAUCCGGUAUUAUUUGAAAGGUGAUUUUUGUAAACGAAUGUUCUAUUCUUAAGGAGAGUCUCGUAAUUGGGAUGUUUCUAUCCUAAGUGUUAGAUGACAAGUAAUUAUUAAGACUGAUGUUGAACUAAGUAUCUGUUUAUAGCCAACAUAAUGCAGAAACGUCAAAAAAUCAGAUAAUGAGUCCUUUUCUGCUGUACAGUUAGAUAUUUAAUAGAUGUUGUAUCGCUACAAAGUUACUGCGCUAGGUAAAGUGUUGACAGCGUUGGCACUUUCACGGCGCAUAAACUUGCUUCUUGUUCAUUGUUAGUUACCCCUGAUUUUUUUUAAUGUUUUUUUGGUUUGUUUAAAUAUUAAGUAUGUUUGCGUCUGUGGUAAAUCACAACAGAUGGUAAUGCAAAGAUUCAUUAACAGGAAGGGUCAUUUUCAAUAUUCGCCUAUGUUAACGGACAGUAGAGGAAGUAUUUGACAUACUGGGAUGAAAGGUGACAACAAAUGGACUACAUUUUUCGGGUGGUCUUAUCUUUGUAUCCAACAGGGAUAUUUCUAUCUUUUUUUUUAUAAAGAUUAUAUGCCAUUUCUUUCUUAAACUAAUAUAUGAAAAUGCUAAAAUUUAUCUGUCGAUAAAAUACGUCUAACAUUUUUGUCAUAGGGAAAGAUGUACAGAUUUUAUGUCUGAAAAUUACUCUUCCUAGUGCAUCAAAUGAUUUAGGAGAUAGCUGUAUUGUAUAUUUAGCUCUGAAGGCAUCGAUAGAGAUUUGAUGGUAACACAUUUUGUUUACUGGCGAUGUGUUAGCGGAUCCAGCAAACGGGUAGUUGCGAGCAUGAAAUCACCAAUGGAUGCCGUCGGAGCUUAAAAUACAAUAUUAUUAUUUCUAUUAUAAUGAAACUAACAGAACACAACGUCAAAUCUUAUAUUUAAACGACGUCUAAACUUGACCGUAUGUUUUCAUGGCAUCCAUUGUGAAUCGAUGCCAAGAAAACUUGUGACGUUAUCCAGUGAAGAUGAUUGUAGCAAACGAUGUUGCAUUAAAAUGAAUAGUGACAACGUCGUGUGUUCAGAUAAUUGUGUUUACUUUGUAAAACAGGAGUUAUUAAUGUUGUACUCUAUCUUACAGAUUUGUUUGAUACAUGCAAUUGCAAGUUCAAGUUAGCUUAUCGUUUAAAUGUAGAUUGUAAUUGUAGAUGAAAACAACCCAUGUCAGCUAAUCAUUACAUUUUCUUUAUUUAAAAAAAAUGAAAACAACAUGUUUAAUAAUUUCUUGUGUGCGAAGCUCUUUUCUGGAUUUACCUUCUUCAAGUGUCACGGUUAAGACGACUUUAUCGAACGCAAGCAUAAGCACGGUAUAUUUGAUGAUGAUUUUGUCCAUGUUAUGUAGAAAUGUAUGUAAAUGUAUGCCACUUUGAAGUGAUGUCAUCAGAUUCAUUGCUUGCAUUUUUUUCUCAAUGCAUAACAUAACAUAAUAACUGACAAUAAGAGGUUCAAAACCCGGUAUCUUAUUAUUGAAGAUUCAUGGUCAUAACCAUUUAAGGAAUGCCUUUCUUGCAAACUAUUUUAAAAAAACAAUUUGCAUUUCAUAUCAAGUUAUAUUUGUAUUUUUAUGAAUAACUAUGGCUUUUUUGUUUUUAGGUAUAUUUUGUUACUAUACGUUACUUUAGAUUUGUUUUUGUUUCACCCAAUGUAGCUGUUGUUAUGACCAUUCAGUAUUUAUGAAUGUAAAUUAGGCAAACGGCUGAUUGUGCUCUGAUUAAUAGCUUCUUUUUGGCAUUUGUCAUAUCUAAUACAAUAUUAAUUUUUAUCUUACCUCCUAUACAUUUCUAAGAAUAUGAUUGGUUAAGAGCAACCUCGUUGAGACCGUGUAUAUUCCAUAUUAGGUUAGUAAGGUUGCAUAUUAGGUUAGUAGUGGAGUUGUGUCCCUUUAUACAAAUAACACGGCAAUGAGAAUUUUAUUUAUAGGUUUCAACAGACGAUUAAAGGGAUAAUAAACGAUAAAAAUUAAUUACAUACAAAUAAUUUAAAGCUAACAAGUUGUUAUUGUUGGCAUUUGUUUUUAAAUAGACAUAUGGAAGUUAAUAAUACUAACAGUGUUGAAGAUUUGAUAAUUUUUUAGGUCACUAGUCUAAAUAUCACAUGUUAAGAUAGUCAGUAAGAUAAAUUCGUUACAUAGUGUGCUCGUAACCAAAAUACGAUAUAUAUGACCCCAUAUAUAUCGUAUUAGGUCACUAGCGCACUAUGUAACUAAUAAUAUCUCUGGUUUCGAAAUUUUUACGAAUGUUUAGGUCAUUCAAUCCUUUGGAUAUCAAAAGUGUUGUAUAUCAACAAUCAAAGAAAUUAUAUAUUUAGUAUUGAUACUUUAAAAUGAGGUGGAAAAUAUUUAGAAACAUAUAGUUUACGUUAAGACAUGGGUUUUGCUGAUUAUUCAACAAGAAUUGAAUGCUUCUUUUGGUAAAUGCAUUGGUGUGUAAAAGCGUUAGCCCAAGUACAUUUUGUAUGAAGAGCGG
rnacentral:lncRNA from 1 species